AGAAAUUCAGAUGGUUUGGGAACUUCCAGAAUUUCAGAUGGUUUGGGAACUUCCCGGAGCUGGACGGAGUUUUCAUAGCAGUGAAAGAAGCCAUAAUGAGGGAAUUUCUCAUACCAGGUUUCUUCAUUAACGUGUGUGUCCCAGUGUUCCCCAGAACUGCUCUUGCCGUACUUGUGAAUCCAACCAGAUCCAUUGUGAUGCUCACCCCAGGUUCGGUUCCAGCGUUCUCCAUGCCUACUUUCCCACCAGCUCUCCCCUUGCUUCACGCCAUUACUAUUUGGAUCAAAGUUUU
rnacentral:lncRNA from 1 species